rnacentral:tRNA from 1 species
CUAGCUUAUUGAUGCCAGUUUCGACCUGGACUUUUUAUUGCUAGU